rnacentral:tmRNA from 1 species
AACAGGUUCCUAGGAUGAGCAACGCCGCAUGCGGGCCUAGACCAUCCGAAACUCCAGACCGCAUGAUAAACGUGUAGAUGCCUGUGCUGACGGUGUUUCGGACAGGGGUUCGACUCCCCUCGCCUCCACCA